ACGCAUUUUAUUUUGGCGGGUCAAGCAGAACACUUUAAGUUCCGGGUCGGGGGUGGACUCGGGUCCUCUUCAUGACGGUUGCUGCUGUCGCUGUGGCUGGCUGCGUGUGUUGGCGUUUUCCUGAAUCGCUGCAAGAACAUUGCUAAAUGGACUCAGAUUAACACAGCCGAAGCACCACAUUGGUUGUUAUGACAACCACUGGACGGUCAAGUUCCCCCCCCCCUGUUUCCACGUCAGGAUGGCGAGCUACAACCGGAUCACCGCAGCUUUGCGGUAGGAUGUAACUGAACUGAACUACCUCAUUUUUCCCGGACCUUUAUUAUUUAUUUUCUUUCCCUCCUCCCUCCUUUUGCUUCCCUUGGAUUAUGGACUAAAACCAGUUGGACUAUUGUUUGGUGAAUCAUUAAUCACCUUACCAAUAAAAAGCACGGACUUGAAUGAGAAAGAAAAACUCUUGGGUGUCAUCAGGGUUUAUUUAUUUGUUUGUUAUUGUUGUUUUUCUUGUUUAUAUUUAUAAGAAAAUAUUAUUAUUAUUAUUAUUAUUAUUCAAUACCUUCCUAAA